rnacentral:rRNA from 1 species
AACGAACGCUGGCGGCAGGCUUAACACAUGCAAGUCGAACGAGUGUAGCAAUACACUAGUGGCGCACGGGUGCGUAACGCGUGGGAACCUUCCUCGUAGUUCGGAAUAACUCAGGGAAACUUGGGCUAAUACCGGAUGCCUCCUUCGGGAGAAAGAUUUAUCGCUACGAGAUGGGCCCGCGUCAGAUUAGGUAGUUGGUAGGGUAACGGCCUACCAAGCCGACGAUCUGUAGCUGGCUGAGAGGAUGAUCAGCCACACUGGGACUGAGACACGGCCCAGACUCCUACGGGAGGCAGCAGUGGGGAAUAUUGGACAAUGGGGGCAACCCUGAUCCAGCCAUGCCGCGUGAGUGAAGAAGGCCUU